UUCUCAACUGAGAAUUGAGUUCUCAAUUCUCUACCCUAAGUGGGAUCAAUAUAAAGUCUAGCUAGUCACAGAUACUUCAAAGACUCAUGGCUUCAACCAAUAGUUUCAACCUCUUACCCUGCAAACUUGUCAACUACAAAUUACAAAAGUGAAGGGAGGCCCAAAAGACUAGCCCAAGAGACUGUGACACCUCUUCCCUUAAAAUAAGAGUAUGAUUCUCCUCCUCUUCAAUGUGGACGUCACUUGCUAACUGCAUUUGGUAAAAGCGUUUCUAAUGAAUGGGAUGUGUAGUCCAACAUGAAGCAGUGAGGUCUCACUCCAACUUCCAGGCUACCCAAGAAGAUCCUCCAGUCAGAAGACCCUGGCUGACAUCUAAUACAACUUCCUGAGAGACUCUUCCUUGCUUUAUCCUGGCCCACAGAUGUCCUGGGCACUUCUGCCUCUUUCCUGUGGGCCCCCAUCAGAAGGAUCUAGUGAGAUUGUAAAGAUGCUUUGCAAACGAUGAGCACUUCUUCAAAUAUAAGAUGAGAAUUUUAAAGAAAACAAUGGCGGCCACUUCAAGCCUCACAUCACCGAGCCUGCAGUGUGCCUCUCUCAUGGCGUCCAUCUCCUUAGAAUCCAGAAGGAGGAUUCUAUCUCAGUAACUAAAAUGGGCUCAAAGAAGGCAAAUUCCGUGUCAUGUGUAUCAGUCACU